UACGGAGGGGGCUAGCGUUGUUCGGAAUUACUGGGCGUAAAGCGCGCGUAGGCGGCUUUUCAAGUCGGAUGUGAAAUCCCCGGGCUUAACCUGGGAACUGCAUUCGAGACUGUCUAGCUAGAGUAUGGGAGAGGGAAGUGGAAUUUCAGGUGUAGCGGUGAAAUGCGUAGAUAUCUGAAGGAACAUCAGUGGCGAAAGCGACUUCCUGGACCAAUACUGACGCUCAUGUGCGAAAGCGUGGGGAGCAAACAGG
rnacentral:rRNA from 1 species